GCCAUCCUGGAAUGCGCGGCCCCGUUUAUUGAGAACAGAAGAGUGUGCAGAUUAAACAGCUCAUAAAAAUAAGCGAGGACCCGACACUGGGCCAGGCAAACAAAGGGCUUCCUGGAAGAAAAGGUGGCUAGUCUCCCUCAUAGGCGGCCGGGAUCCCCUGGAAAGCCUGUCCUCUGGCGGCAGAAGUUAGAAGACCUCGGGCAUGUGUGGGCUUUGCCCGCUCUGUGGGCAGUAAGGCUGCCCCCACCCAGUCCUCACUCAGCCUUUGCAACCCCAGGAGCCUGGUUGGAAGGUAUCAUUAGUCCCAGCUCACAGAAGAGGAAAUCGAGGCUCCCAAAGGUGACGUCCAGAGUCACAGGAUCGAUGACUCGUACCCCAGCCCUCCUGCCCCUCGCCUGGGGCUACGGGGCCCUUUGCA